GUCCACGCCGUAAACGAUGAAUACUAGGUGUUGGGAAGCAUUGCUUCUCGGUGCCGUCGCAAACGCAGUAAGUAUUCCACCUGGGGAGUACGUUCGCAAGAAUGAAACUCAAAGGAAUUGACGGGGACCCCGCACAAGCGGUGGAGCAUGUGGUUUAAUUCGAAGCAACGCGAAGAACCUUACCAAGUCUUGACAUCCUUCUGACCGGUACUUAACCGUACCUUCUCUUCGGAGCAGGAGUGACAGGUGGUGCAUGGUUGUCGU
rnacentral:rRNA from 1 species